rnacentral:rRNA from 1 species
GAUGAACGCUGGCGGCGUGCCUAAUACAUGCAAGUCGAGCGAACGGACGAGAAGCUUGCUUCUCUGAUGUUAGCGGCGGACGGGUGAGUAACACGUGGAUAACCUACCUAUAAGACUGGGAUAACUUCGGGAAACCGGAGCUAAUACCGGAUAAUAUUUUGAACCGCAUGGUUCAAAAGUGAAAGACGGUCUUGCUGUCACUUAUAGAUGGAUCCGCGCUGCAUUAGCUAGUUGGUAAGGUAACGGCUUACCAAGGCAACGAUGCAUAGCCGACCUGAGAGGGUGAUCGGCCACACUGGAACUGAGACACGGUCCAGACUCCUACGGGAGGCAGCAGUAGGGAAUCUUCCGCAAUGGGCGGAAGCCUGACGGAGCAACGCCGCGUGAGUGAUGAAGGUCUUCGGAUCGUAAAACUCUGUUAUUAGGGAAGAACAUAUGUGUAAGUAACUGUGCACAUCUUGACGGUACCUAAUCAGAAAGCCACGGCUAACUACGUGCCAGCAGCCGCGGUAAUACGUAGGUGGCAAGCGUUAUCCGGAAUUAUUGGGCGUAAAGCGCGCGUAGGCGGUUUUUUAAGUCUGAUGUGAAAGCCCACGGCUCAACCGUGGAGGGUCAUUGGAAACUGGAAAACUUGAGUGCAGAAGAGGAAAGUGGAAUUCCAUGUGUAGCGGUGAAAUGCGCAGAGAUAUGGAGGAACACCAGUGGCGAAGGCGACUUUCUGGUCUGUAACUGACGCUGAUGUGCGAAAGCGUGGGGAUCAAACAGGAUUAGAUACCCUGGUAGUCCACGCCGUAAACGAUGAGUGCUAAGUGUUAGGGGGUUUCCGCCCCUUAGUGCUGCAGCUAACGCAUUAAGCACUCCGCCUGGGGAGUACGACCGCAAGGUUGAAACUCAAAGGAAUUGACGGGGACCCGCACAAGCGGUGGAGCAUGUGGUUUAAUUCGAAGCAACGCGAAGAACCUUACCAAAUCUUGACAUCCUUUGACAACUCUAGAGAUAGAGCCUUCCCCUUCGGGGGGGCAAAGUGACAGGUGGUGCAUGGUUGUCGUCAGCUCGCGUCGUGAGAUGUUGGGUUAAGUCCCGCAACGAGCGCAACCCUUAAGCUUAGUUGCCAUCAUUAAGUUGGGCACUCUAAGUUGACUGCCGGUGACAAACCGGAGGAAGGUGGGGAUGACGUCAAAUCAUCAUGCCCCUUAUGAUUUGGGCUACACACGUGCUACAAUGGACAAUACAAAGGGCAGCGAAACCGCGAGGUCAAGCAAAUCCCAUAAAGUUGUUCUCAGUUCGGAUUGUAGUCUGCAACUCGACUACAUGAAGCUGGAAUCGCUAGUAAUCGUAGAUCAGCAUGCUACGGUGAAUACGUUCCCGGGUCU